rnacentral:rRNA from 1 species
UUAAGUUAUUAAGGGCGCACGGUGGAUGCCUUGGCACUAGAAGCCGAUGAAGGACGUUACUAACGACGAUAUGCUUUGGGGAGCUGUAAGUAAGCUUUGAUCCAGAGAUUUCCGAAUGGGGAAACCCAGCAUGAGUUAUGUCAUGUUAUCGAUAUGUGAAUACAUAGCAUAUCAGAAGGCACACCCGGAGAACUGAAACAUCUUAGUACCCGGAGGAAGAGAAAGAAAAUUCGAUUCCCUUAGUAGCGGCGAGCGAAACGGGAAGAGCCCAAACCAACAAGCUUGCUUGUUGGGGUUGUAGGACACUCUAUACGGAGUUACAAAGGACGACAUUAGACGAAUCAUCUGGAAAGAUGAAUCAAAGAAGGUAAUAAUCCUGUAGUCGAAAAUGUUGUCUCUCUUGAGUGGAUCCUGAGUACGACGGAGCACGUGAAAUUCCGUCGGAAUCUGGGAGGACCAUCUCCUAAGGCUAAAUACUCUCUAGUGACCGAUAGUGAACCAGUACCGUGAGGGAAAGGUGAAAAGCACCCCGGAAGGGGAGUGAAAUAGAACCUGAAACCGUGUGCUUACAAGUAGUCAGAGCCCGUUAAUGGGUGAUGGCGUGCCUUUUGUAGAAUGAACCGGCGAGUUACGAUUUGAUGCAAGGUUAAGCAGUAAAUGUGGAGCCGUAGCGAAAGCGAGUCUGAAUAGGGCGUUUAGUAUUUGGUCGUAGACCCGAAACCAGGUGAUCUACCCUUGGUCAGGUUGAAGUUCAGGUAACACUGAAUGGAGGACCGAACCGACUUACGUUGAAAAGUGAGCGGAUGAACUGAGGGUAGCGGAGAAAUUCCAAUCGAACCUGGAGAUAGCUGGUUCUCUCCGAAAUAGCUUUAGGGCUAGCCUCAAGUGAUGAUUAUUGGAGGUAGAGCACUGUUUGGACGAGGGGCCCCUCUCGGGUUACCGAAUUCAGACAAACUCCGAAUGCCAAUUAAUUUAACUUGGGAGUCAGAACAUGGGUGAUAAGGUCCGUGUUCGAAAGGGAAACAGCCCAGACCACCAGCUAAGGUCCCAAAAUAUAUGUUAAGUGGAAAAGGAUGUGGCGUUGCCCAGACAACUAGGAUGUUGGCUUAGAAGCAGCCAUCAUUUAAAGAGUGCGUAAUAGCUCACUAGUCGAGUGACACUGCGCCGAAAAUGUACCGGGGCUAAACAUAUUACCGAAGCUGUGGAUUGUCCUUUGGACAAUGGUAGGAGAGCGUUCUAAGGGCGUUGAAGCAUGAUCGUAAGGACAUGUGGAGCGCUUAGAAGUGAGAAUGCCGGUGUGAGUAGCGAAAGACGGGUGAGAAUCCCGUCCACCGAUUGACUAAGGUUUCCAGAGGAAGGCUCGUCCGCUCUGGGUUAGUCGGGUCCUAAGCUGAGGCCGACAGGCGUAGGCGAUGGAUAACAGGUUGAUAUUCCUGUACCACCUAUAAUCGUUUUAAUCGAUGGGGGGACGCAGUAGGAUAGGCGAAGCGUGCGAUUGGAUUGCACGUCUAAGCAGUAAGGCUGAGUAUUAGGCAAAUCCGGUACUCGUUAAGGCUGAGCUGUGAUGGGGAGAAGACAUUGUGUCUUCGAGUCGUUGAUUUCACACUGCCGAGAAAAGCCUCUAGAUAGAAAAUAGGUGCCCGUACCGCAAACCGACACAGGUAGUCAAGAUGAGAAUUCUAAGGUGAGCGAGCGAACUCUCGUUAAGGAACUCGGCAAAAUGACCCCGUAACUUCGGGAGAAGGGGUGCUCUUUAGGGUUAACGCCCAGAAGAGCCGCAGUGAAUAGGCCCAAGCGACUGUUUAUCAAAAACACAGGUCUCUGCUAAACCGUAAGGUGAUGUAUAGGGGCUGACGCCUGCCCGGUGCUGGAAGGUUAAGAGGAGUGGUUAGCUUCUGCGAAGCUACGAAUCGAAGCCCCAGUAAACGGCGGCCGUAACUAUAACGGUCCUAAGGUAGCGAAAUUCCUUGUCGGGUAAGUUCCGACCCGCACGAAAGGCGUAACGAUUUGGGCACUGUCUCAACGAGAGACUCGGUGAAAUCAUAGUACCUGUGAAGAUGCAGGUUACCCGCGACAGGACGGAAAGACCCCGUGGAGCUUUACUGUAGCCUGAUAUUGAAAUUCGGCACAGCUUGUACAGGAUAGGUAGGAGCCUUUGAAACGUGAGCGCUAGCUUACGUGGAGGCGCUGGUGGGAUACUACCCUAGCUGUGUUGGCUUUCUAACCCGCACCACUUAUCGUGGUGGGAGACAGUGUCAGGCGGGCAGUUUGACUGGGGCGGUCGCCUCCUAAAAGGUAACGGAGGCGCUCAAAGGUUCCCUCAGAAUGGUUGGAAAUCAUUCAUAGAGUGUAAAGGCAUAAGGGAGCUUGACUGCGAGACCUACAAGUCGAGCAGGGUCGAAAGACGGACUUAGUGAUCCGGUGGUUCCGCAUGGAAGGGCCAUCGCUCAACGGAUAAAAGCUACCCCGGGGAUAACAGGCUUAUCUCCCCCAAGAGUUCACAUCGACGGGGAGGUUUGGCACCUCGAUGUCGGCUCAUCGCAUCCUGGGGCUGUAGUCGGUCCCAAGGGUUGGGCUGUUCGCCCAUUAAAGCGGUACGCGAGCUGGGUUCAGAACGUCGUGAGACAGUUCGGUCCCUAUCCGUCGUGGGCGUAGGAAAUUUGAGAGGAGCUGUCCUUAGUACGAGAGGACCGGGAUGGACAUUCCUCUGGUGUACCAGUUGUCGUGCCAACGGCAUAGCUGGGUAGCUAUGUGUGGACGGGAUAAGUGCUGAAAGCAUCUAAGCAUGAAGCCCCCCUCAAGAUGAGAUUUCCCAACUUCGGUUAUAAGAUCCCUCAAAGAUGAUGAGGUUAAUAGGUUCGAGGUGGAAGCAUGGUGACAUGUGGAGCUGACGAAUACUAAUCGAUCGAAGACUUAAUCAA